rnacentral:rRNA from 1 species
UACGUAGGGUGCGAGCGUUAAUCGGAAUACUGGGCGUAAAGUGUGCGCAGGUGGCCGCGCAAGUCGAGUGUGAAAUCCCCGAGCUUAACUUGGGAAUUGCGCUCGAAACUACGUGGCUCGAGUGUGGCAGAGGAAGGUGGAAUUCCACGUGUAGCGGUGAAAUGCGUAGAGAUGUGGAGGAACACCGAUGGCGAAGGCCAGCCUCCUGGGCCAACACUGACGCUCAUGCACGAAAGCGUGGGGAGCAAACAGG